rnacentral:rRNA from 1 species
AUUGAACGCUGGCGGCAGGCCUAACACAUGCAAGUCGGACGGUAGCACAGGGAGCUUGCUCUCGGGUGACGAGUGGCGGACGGGUGAGUAAUGUCUGGGGAUCUGCCCGAUAGAGGGGGAUAACCACUGGAAACGGUGGCUAACACCGCAUAACGUCGCAAGACCAAAGAGGGGGACCUUCGGGCCUCUCACUAUCGGAUGAACCCAGAUGGGAUUAGCUAGUAGGCGGGGUAACGGCCCACCUAGGCGACGAUCCCUAGCUGGUCUGAGAGGAUGACCAGCCACACUGGAACUGAGACACGGUCCAGACUCCUACGGGAGGCAGCAGUGGGGAAUAUUGCACAAUGGGCGCAAGCCUGAUGCAGCCAUGCCGCGUGUAUGAAGAAGGCCUUCGGGUUGUAAAGUACUUUCAGCGGGGAGGAAGGCGAUGUGGUUAAUAACCGCAUUGAUUGACGUUACCCGCAGAAGAAGCACCGGCUAACUCCGUGCCAGCAGCCGCGGUAA